GGUAACUGACGGUUUCGAAGGGGUCAUUCCACAUGAUCAAUGUGAGGGUCAUAUCAGCACAUCAGAUCAGACAAGUAGCUGCUCUCAUAAUAACUUCUGUCCACGAGUUUAUAAGACCAUUACACUGGAGAGAGGGUUGUCAGGCCUGGGCUUCAGCAUUGUGGGGGGAUUUGGCAGCCCUCAUGGAGACCUGCCGAUCUACGUCAAAACUAUUUUCUGCAAGGGGGCAGCCAUUGAGGACGGCAGGCUGAAACGUGGCGAUCAGAUUAUUGCUGUGAAUGGACACUGUCUGGAGGGUGUGACUCAUGCUGAGGCUGUGGAAAUUCUGAAAAAGACAAAAGGGACUGUCGUCCUUACUGUUCUCUCCUGAGCUAAUUGUCACUCUUCCAGUUUUCGAAUAGUAUAACUGUAUGAAUAACGCUGUCUUUUGUAGAACUGCUUGAAUCAAAGCUGAGGACCUAAAUAUGGGAAUUUCUAGAAGUCCAAAUGCAUCUUCAACGUCUUAGAGAAUUCUUUCAAGUGUUUAAGCAUGUAGACCCCAUAUAUUGGUCAUAUAACAUGUUUUGAUCACCCAAAAUGACAUACAAUGAUUAGAAAUGGGAAAGGUUGUCAAAGGUUGUCUUAAAUCCUUAAUCUUAAAUACCUAACAAGAUCUAUAUUCUAGAUCUAGCUGAAGAAAAUCACCCCAACUGUAUGAUCCUGCCACCAGCAUUCAAAGGUUCUUGAAAACUAUUUAUCUAUUUUUUCUUCUGGUGUAAAAUUGUGUUUAUCUGUAAAAUGCAUCAAAGUUUUUGACUUAAUGUGAGAAAAUAAUAAUGAAAAAAAAGUUGUAGAACUGUUGAUACUUGUGCAUGGUAACACAUGCAGUACCUAGUCUGGAGAAGGUACCUCUAACAAAACUGCCUCAAAUAUUGUAUUUGUACAGUCAUUUCUCAUUAUACAACUGUAACAUUAAUUUUACUUGAUAGAAAAAAAUCUAAACUUGUUUUUAGUGGCAAUAUUAUCUUUAUGUACAGUUCUACCUAUACAAAGCCUAAGUGUUUUAAUGAUAUGAGGUCGGAGAUAUAAAAAUAACGGAAAACAAAAAGGCCUGUCAGAAAAGAAAAAGCAACAACAAAAAACCAAAACACAUGCAGUAUUCUUACAGUUAAUUGACUCCUGUUCAGUCAAAGGUCCCAUUCCAACAUGCACAACAUGCCAAGUGCUUCUGCCAAGGUUUUUUUUUAAGGCAAUCGUGUUUUAGGAGACUGUUUUUGUGAAGGCGUGACAUACAUUUUCUUUGCAUUCCUGUAUUUUAUUGUUUUAAAAGCAUAAUGGUUACUUAUUUAGUCAUUGUCUUUCAUAACCUAGUGAUACCUCUAUGAACAUAGUAUGUAUGGUGGUUAGAGAAUACAAUAACAAGUCUUUGCAUACUUUUUUUUUUUUGCACACUAGGACUUAAAGGGAGUAGUUUAUAGUAUAAAGUGCUGUUUUUAUUUAGAAUUUCUUUUUUUUUUUAUUGAUUCUGUAUUCUUAAUGGAAAAUGUAUUCUUUAUGUAUUUUAGGUUUGUUGUUUAAAGAAGCCACAGCACUUAAACCUGUGUGCAUUAUGUAG